CUACGGGUUGCAGCAGUGGGGAAUAUUGCACAAUGGAGGAAACUCUGAUGCAGCAACGCCGCGUGGAGGAUGACACUUUUCGGAGCGUAAACUCCUUUUAUAUAGGAAGAAGAUGACGGUACUAUAUGAAUAAGCGCCGGCUAACUCCGUGCCAGCAGCCGCGGUAAUACGGAGGGCGCAAGCGUUACUCGGAAUCACUGGGCGUAAAGAGCGUGUAGGCGGAUUAAAAAGUCAGAAGUGAAAUCCUAUAGCUUAACUAUAGAACUGCUUCUGAAACUCUUAAUCUAGAAUAUGGGAGAGGUAGAUGGAAUUUCUGGUGUAGGGGUAAAAUCCGUAGAGAUCAGAAGGAAUACCGAUUGCGAAGGCGAUCUACUAGAACAUUAUUGACGCUGAGACGCGAAAGCGUGGGGAGCAAACAGGAUUAGAUACCCGAGUAGUC
rnacentral:rRNA from 1 species